CCACGGACACCCUGCAGGGAGUCCCCCGCUGCGGCGCGACGUACAGAGCCCGGGAAACAGCGGCGCGGCUGGUAGCGCUGGUGCCUCGCCGCUGCUAUGCUGUGGGUGUCAGCUCUUGAGCUACAGGAGCCAGCCGCGGAAUCUAUAUGGGAGCAGUUUGCAGCUUCCAUCUGCUUAUGCUGAACAAUUCUGCAAACCACCACACACCAGAGGGUGACAACAGCGACCUUCUCAGGAGAGAAAAUA